AGAGUUUGAUCCUGGCUCAGGACGAACGCUGGCGGCGUGCUUAACACAUGCAAGUCGAACGGUAAGGCCCUUCGGGGUACACGAGUGGCGAACGGGUGAGUAACACGUGAGUGACCUGCCCUUUACUUUGGGAUAACUACCAGAAAUGGUGGCUAAUACCGAAUAUGACUCCUGCCUGCAUGGGUGGGGGUGGAAAGCUCCGGCGGUAAGGGAUGGACUCGCGGCCUAUCAGCUUGUUGGUGAGGUAGUGGCUCACCAAGGCUUCGACGGGUAGCCGGCCUGAGAGGGUGACCGGCCACAUUGGGACUGAGAUACGGCCCAGACUCCUACGGGAGGCAGCAGUGGGGAAUAUUGCGCAAUGGGCGGAAGCCUGACGCAGCAACGCCGCGUGCGGGAUGACGGCCUUCGGGUUGUAAACCGCUUUCAGCAGGGACGAAGCUUUUGUGACGGUACCUGCAGAAGAAGCACCGGCCAACUACGUGCCAGCAGCCGCGGUAAA
rnacentral:rRNA from 1 species